rnacentral:rRNA from 1 species
UACGGAGGGUGCGAGCGUUGUCCGGAAUCAUUGGGCGUAAAGGGCGCGUAGGUGGCCCGGUCAGUCUUUGGUGAAAGCGCGGGGCUCAACCCUGCGUCGGCCAGGGAUACUGCCGCGGCUCGAGCACUGUAGAGGCAGGCGGAAUUCCGGGUGUAGCGGUGGAAUGCGUAGAGAUCCGGAAGAACACCGGUGGCGAAAGCGAUCGACUGGACCUCUUCUGACGCUGAGGCGCGAAAGCCAGGGGAGCAAACGGG